UACGUAGGUCCCGAGCGUUGUCCGGAUUUAUUGGGCGUAAAGCGAGCGCAGGUGGUUUAUUAAGUCUGGUGUAAAAGGCAGUGGCUCAACCAUUGUAUGCAUUGGAAACUGGUAGACUUGAGUGCAGGAGAGGAGAGUGGAAUUCCCUGUGUAGCGGUGAAAUGCGUAGAUAUAUGGAGGAACACCGGUGGCGAAAGCGGCUCUCUGGCCUGUAACUGACACUGAGGCUCGAAAGCGUGGAGAGCAAACAGG
rnacentral:rRNA from 1 species